UGAGAGCUGAUGGGACAGAGGGCCGAGGGAACAGCAUGUUUGAGGACCCUGAGUCAGGGGGAGAGUGAUGAACCUGAAGAAUUCAGCAAGGCCAGUACGGGUCCAAGAGAGGGUGGGCAGGCUCAUCAGCCUGAUGGGGGAGCCGACGGGUGUGUGAGGUCACUCCCCACCAGGAGUCUGUGGCUGCCCCUCCAGAAAAGAAUGCGUGCCCCGCCCCCAUCCUAGGGCCUGCCGCCGGACUGUGUGCUUUGGCUCCCCCUGGUGGCUCUGAUGAGAACCAGAACCCUAACUUGCUCGGUUGGUGGAAAAGACGCCUGGCUGUGAGUCUGGAAAUCGCUUUUGCCCCUUGCUUCCUGCCUGUCCACUUGCUGCCUGGGUUUGCCCUUCCUUGCGAGAUGCCUCUGGCCAGUAAUUCAAGAUAGUUACAACAGAGGGCAGAAUUGUUGCUGGAAUGCAGGCUUUUUGAGGUUACCACCAUGGACAAAUGCUGAUUAAUGUUCUUUAUUGCGAAAUUUCUGAAGCUUAUGGGCAAGAUCAAUGAAGCAGAAGGAUUAUUCUUGACUGUUGAGAACAUGUUAGUGCA